UUAAUAUACACAGUAACUUUUGUUCUUUUAAAGCAAAGAUUCGGGCCUCCUGGGCCCAGCUCAGGUCCUGGCUCAAAAAGUCCCUGGAACAGAGCCCUUGCUUUUGUCCCUGCCUCCCGGGUGAUUGAGGAGUAGAAAAGGAACCUACAUUCCUCAUCCUUGGUGUGAAUUUCCACGCUCCCCACCGGCCAACUGUGGCAAUUCACAUUGUAGUUCUGACAAUAAAUGGCCCGUUCUGACUGGGCUGGUGGGGGUCCUGGUCCAGCCACCUCCAGCCAGGGGUCCCUGGGUCGUGAAGGCGCCACGACCUGCUCCACUCAAGAUGUGCAGCUCCACCCACUCACGCUAGAGAGGAAGAAGAACUUCUGCCAUAAACUUUUGUUGUUAUUGUUUUGUUUGGUUUGGUUUGAGACGGGGUCUCGUUCUGUUGCUCCGCCUGGAGUGCAGUGGCCCCAUCACGGCUCACUGCAGCCUCGACCUCCUGGGCUCGAGUGAUUCUCAUGCUUCAGCCUCUGGAGGAGCUGGGGCCACAGGCACCCACCACCACACCUGGCUAAGUUUUUGUAUUUUUGUAGAAACAAGGUCUCGCUCUGUUGCCCAGGCUCGUCUCAAACUCCGCCCACCUCAGCCUCCCAAAGUGCUGGGAUUCCAGGUGCGAGCCACCGCACCCAGCCUCCUAAACUGUUUUUAAUUUGUGCAGAAUGAACCGGGUCAUCAACCACUGUAAGUGGUCUGACUACCCUGACCAUAAAGUGUCGGAAACACUCAACUUGCAACUGGUGGAAGCAGCCUAGCCCCACUGCACGUAAAACACUCGCGUUGUGGCAAACGCGGAGACCAAGGCUGCACUGGCCGGAAGUGGGGACAGAUCCCGAUACGCCCUGGGGACAGAGCAGGGAUGCUGAGGCCUGGUCCACACUGGCUCUGCCCUCUUUCUGGCCCACUACCCCAUCCUGAGACCGCAGGUUCCGGCGGACCCGGAUGCAGGUUUUCCGGAUGAAAGGCCCCUUUCCUGGAGUGGACUUUGAUAUUUUCUGUUCACAACUCCGUGUCACCAUCCUCCACACCUAGGAUCUGGCGUCUGGUGUCACUGCCGACGUCACAAUCCCCGCACCUACGUGUCUCAGCCGCAGUAGCCCUACGUCGCUGUCAGACACUGGGAGCCAAACUCCCUUCAUUCCAACUUCCACCAAAACCACUUCUCUGGAUCCAUCCCUGGAGUUGACACAACAGGGAUCUUCAGCCCCAGGUGCCAGGUUUCUCAGUGAUCCAUUACACAGAUUUAACAGGGAAAUGGGGGCAGUAUCAAAAACACCCAGUAUAAACCAUUGAAUUACCCCAGCCCUUGUCUCUGCCCAUGAACAACUGCCUGGGGCCAGAGAAUUAGGCAUCCCUGCUCUUCUUUCCCUCAGAAAGCCCUUGAGACGUUCUCCUUGAAGCUCCCCUAGGUGGGAGUAGAAGUUCAUCUCCUGACACUCCACGUUUUAUUCAUGAGUCCUGAGUUAUGACACAGAGGACACAGUUGUGCUCCCCUUACUAUGGACUAGCAGAUAAAGCACCUUAACCACUCAGCCACCAUGCAAACCCUUCUUAUAUUUGAUUCAAUAUACUUUUCCGCAAGCAAAAUAAAAGUUCUGACCAAGGAGGCGUCGUCUGAUUUGACUCUAGAACUUGGAAAUGCAUUGGCUUUUAGCAAAUCUCAGUACUGAAUGUAAACUUCAAGGAGAAAUGGUUCCAGGAAAUAAAUUGGGAUGACAUUGAACUUUUAGCAAACUGCAAAAUCCUGAAACCAUGGACUUACUGAGGCCAAUUAAAUGGGCUAAUUCAUGGGUGGAAGUGGUACAUCCUAAAAAUUCUCCACAAGUGAUUCUACACUGAAGCCAGGGUUUUUGUCAAGUACUGUGUGAGGAUGAGGAUGGCCAUCUGCUUGGCAAGCCAUCUG
rnacentral:lncRNA from 1 species